UAAAAGACUAUGAUCAGAAUAGUAAACCAUAUUAAAUUUCAGAAAGCUCAUGAUGAUGGGAAAUGGGUAUUUGAAUGGUUUGCGUCACAUCUGGGAGUCAUUUUCCUGAAUGAAGUAGGGAAAAGCGGUGAGCACGUUAUUGCUGAAGUUUAGUUUUCUAAACUCGUUGAGACUUUUCAUAUGAAUGGAAAGUGAAGCUGAGGUGGAACCGCGAUUAAUAAUCGUCCUCUUA
rnacentral:ncRNA from 1 species